UUGACGGAGAGUUUGAUCCUGGCUCAGGACGAACGCUGGCGGCGUGCUUAAUACAUGCAAGUCGAACGAUCCCGGGACUUCGGUCCCAAUGGGAGAGUGGCGAACGGGUGCGUAACACGUGAGAAACCUAUCCCGGAGAUGGGAAUAGCCCAGGGAAACCUGGAUUAAUGCCCAAUACCCUGAGAGCGCCGCAUGGCGCAUUCAGGAAAGGUUCCGGCGCUUUGGGAGGGUCUCGCGGCCUAUCAGCUUGUUGGUGAGGUAAAGGCUCACCAAGGCAUCGACGGGUAGCUGGUCUGAGAGGACGAUCAGCCACACUGGGACUGAGACACGGCCCAGACUCCUACGGGAGGCAGCAGUAGGGAAUCUUGCGCAAUGGGCGAAAGCCUGACGCAGCAACGCCGCGUGGGGGAUGAAGGCCUUCGGGUCGUAAACCCCUUUCAGCAGGGACGAAAUUGACGGUACCUGCAGAAGAAGCGCCGGCCAACUACGUGCCAGCAGCCGCGGUAAUACGUAGGGCGCAAGCGUUGUCCGGAUUUAUUGGGCGUAAAGGGCUCGUAGGCGGUUCGGUAAGUCGGGUGUGAAAACUCAGGGCUCAACCCUGAGACGCCACUCGAUACUGCCAUGACUAGAGUCCGGUAGAGGAGUGCGGAAUUCCUGGUGUAGCGGUGAAAUGCGCAGAUAUCAGGAGGAACACCGACAGCGAAGGCAGCACUCUGGGCCGGUACUGACGCUGAGGAGCGAA
rnacentral:rRNA from 1 species